GGCGCUGUCUCCAGCAGAGACUCAGUGAAAUCGAAAUCGCAGUGAAGAUGCUGUGUACCCGCGGCUAGACGGAAAGACCCCGUGAACCUUUACUACAGCUUUACAUUGAACUUUGACCUUACCUGUGUAGGAUAGGUGGGAGGCUUUGAAGCAGGCACGCCAGUGUCUGUGGAGCCAUCCUUGAAAUACCACCCUGGUAAUGUUGGGGUUCUAACUCAAGCUUAACAGAGCUGAGGACAAUGUAUGGUGGGUAGUUUGACUGGGGCGGUCUCCUCCUAAAGAGUAACGGAGGAGUACGAAGGUGCGCUCAGAACGGUCGGAAAUCGUUCGAAGAGUAUAAAGGCAAAAGCGCGCUUAACUGCGAGACCCACAAGUCGAGCAGAUACGAAAGUAGGUCUUAGUGAUCCGGUGGUUCUGUAUGGAAGGGCCAUCGCUCAACGGAUAAAAGGUA
rnacentral:rRNA from 1 species